rnacentral:rRNA from 1 species
GAUGAACGCUGGCGGCGUGCCUAAUACAUGCAAGUCGAGCGAACGGACGAGAAGCUUGCUUUUCUGAUGUUAGCGGCGGACGGGUGAGUAACACGUGGUUAACCUACCUAUAAGACUGGGAUAACUUCGGGAAACCGGAGCUAAUACCGGAUAAUAUUUUGAACCGCAUGGUUCAAAAGUGAAAGACGGUCUUGCUGUCACUUAUAGAUGGAUCCGCGCUGCAUUAGCUAGUUGGUAAGGUAACGGCUUACCAAGGCAACGAUGCAUAGCCGACCUGAGAGGGUGAUCGGCCACACUGGAACUGAGACACGGUCCAGACUCCUACGGGAGGCAGCAGUAGGGAAUCUUCCGCAAUGGGCGAAAGCCUGACGGAGCAACGCCGCGUGAGUGAUGAAGGUCUUCGGAUCGUAAAACUCUGUUAUUAGGGAAGAACAUAUGUGUAAGUAACUGUGCACAUCUUGACGGUACCUAAUCAGAAAGCCACGGCUAACUACGU